GUGGGUGAGAUUGUCAACAAUGCGACAACCUGCUACUUUUUAGCUUACAAGGUCUUAGCAAAAGCUAGUGCUAGCAGCAUAUGUUUGACAUUUACACUUUACCAAAUAAUUGAUUGUAAAGUCAACAGGCGUUAUACAGUAUGAUUUUUUUUGUCCAUAUUGAAAUUCAGUGAAUAAAUAUCUUUUUCAGACUUGCGAUUAAAUAAAGAAUAAAAAUGCUUCUAAACAA